rnacentral:lncRNA from 12 species
GGGUAACUGACACAUUUGCUGAAACCCAUGAAGGUGACAUCUCCUUUGAAAUAAUCCAGAUUAUUCAUUUGCAUGUGAAGACACAAACUAAAGACUUAGCUGACUGUCCCCCAUGAAGUGGCCCUCUACAAACUAGAACAGUGACAUCUGUUAAAUGAAGCCCAAAUUCCUUUUCUUCCAGGCUUUCAUGGAAGUCUGCCUAAAGGAAGAACAGCUGAGAAACCGCCCCUGAGAUUCCUCCCCCAGAAUCUGAGUAACCACCUCAGAAGGCAGGCGGGUGAAUCACUGAGCCCACAGCGCUCUCCUUGGGGGGGUGCGACAGGCGCGCCAGAAACGCCUCACACUUUACAUUCUGCAAGUGCAGUUGAGCUGAAUCAUUGACUAAUGACUAACCUGCCCUGCCCUGUACCCAAGGCGCCCAAAUUGCCGAUGAGCUAACUGUUGGCCAGGUGCACACGACUAAGAGAAAUCAUACUUCUGCUAAGCAGCCGUCACCUGAACAUUUAAUUGCCUGGAGAAAGCUCCAUCAGGAAGAGUUGUGUGUGCCCUCUUUGACAAAUCCAAGCACAGACAGAGACAAGGUCGGACGUGUCUUUAUCCAUCAGAGAUUGGCACCGCCACAUCAAGGUGCAGAACUUCGUCCUUCCAGUUUGUAUGCAUCUGCUGAGGUCAAGGGAAAAUCUCCUGCCUUCCAACACUCACCCUUCCCUCGACCUUGAUUAGUAUCUGGAAGAGCUGACAAACCAUACUUUGGCUAUCCAAGCUUUAAUCCAUACCUAAAGGAAAUCAGAGAGCAUUUUUGCACAAUGCAAUGUGCCUUUUGCAUUCAUUUGUAGCAGGUAUACAAUGAGAACUGCCACAAAGUGCACUCAGGUAGGUGGUUCUUUCCCUG